AUCCCCGUUGAUCCUGCGGGAGAUUGCUGCUAUGGGAAUUCGAUUAAGCCAUGCAAGUCAGAGGGUUCUUCGGAACACAGGCUGAAUGCUCAGUAACACGUCAAUAAUCUGCCCUUAAGUUCGGCAUAACCUCGGGAAACUGAGGCUAAAACCGGAUAGGUAAUCGAUACUGGAAUGUUCUUUUACUCAAAGGUAACGCUUAAGGAUGAGUUGGCGGCUGAUUAGCUUGUUGGUAGUGUAAAGGACUACCAAGGCUUUGAUCAGUACGGGCCGUGAGAGCGGGAGCCCGGAGAAGGGUACUUAGACACUGACCCUAGCCCUACGGGGUGCAGCAGGCGCGAAACCUUUACAAUGUACGUAAGUGCGAUAAGGGGAAUCCCAGUGCUCAUGCUAAGCAUGGGCUUUUGCCAAGUGUAAAUAGCUUGGCGAAUAAGUGGUGGGUAAGACGGGUGCCAGCCGCCGCGGUAACACCUGCGCCACAAGUGGCAAUCGCGUUUAUUUGGCCUAAAGCGUUCGUAGCCGGAUGAGACAGUCUUGAGUGAAAUCGUUGCGCUUAACAAAACGGCGUGCUUGAGAUACUACUUGUCUAGGGACCGGGAGGAGUUAGGGGUAUUCCUGAGGGAGCGGUAAAAUGUUAUAAUCUCAGGAGGACCACCUGUGGCGAAGGCGCCUAACUAGAACGGAUCCGACGGUGAGGAACGAAAGCUAGGGGAGCAAACCGGAUUAGAUACCCGAGUAGUCCUAGCCGUAAACGCUGUGUACUAGAUGUUGCAUAUUCUACGAGGAUGUGCAGUGUCGGAGCGAAGGCAUUAAGUACACCGCCUGGGAAGUACGGUCGCAAGGCUGAAACUUAAAGGAAUUGGCGGGGGAGCACUACAAGGGGUGCGGCGUGCGGUUUAAUCUAACUCUACGCAGAGAAUCUCACCAGCAGCGACGGCAGAAUGAAGGUCAGGUUAAAUGUCUUACCUAACGAGCCGAGAGGUAUUGCAUGGCCGUCGUCAGCUCGUGCCGUAAGGUGUCCUCUUAAGUGAGGUAACGAGCGAGACCCAUAUCCAUAGUUGCUAACGGACUCUUUUGAGGGACCGAGCACCCUAUGGGGACUGCCUUGGAAACGAGGAGGAAGGUGUGGGCUACGAUAGGUCUGUAUGGUCCGAAUCUGCUGGGCUACACGCGCGCAACAAUGGCAAGGACAAUGGGCUGCAACACCGAAAGGUGAAGCUAAACCUCGAAACCUUGUCUUAGUUUAGAUUGAGGAUUGUAAUUCAUCCUCAUGACAACGGAAUCCCUAGUAAUCGGACUUCAUCACGGUCCGGUGAAUAUGUCCCUGCUCCUUGCACACACCGCCCGUCAAACCAACCGAAUUGGGCUUGGGUGAGAUGUAGCUUUUAGUUAUCUCGAACCUAGGUUCGGUGAGGUGGGUUAAGUCGUCACAAGGUAGCCGUAGGGGAACCUACGGCUGGAUCACCUCCU
rnacentral:rRNA from 1 species